UGCACCCAGCUGCUGGGCUGAUGGUUUUUCUGCACUUAGGAAAUGCAGAAUGGGAAACAUUAGUGCCAGGAGCAAGAUGAAAGGGAGGAGACUGCAAAGUGCAGCCCUGCAAAUUUCUCCUGCGCUCGGUCGAGCUACAAAAUAAUCAGAUUAAGCCCAGCUGGCACUGUUUAUAAGACCCACAGCUCUCAUUUCAUCUGGGAAAACACAUGCAGCACAAUUAGAAAAGCUGCUGGGGAGCAACAAAUAGCAGAGCCCUAUAGCCAGAACGUGGCUUCGCUGCUUCCUUCAGUUCCUUCUUGUGAGGACUUCAUAGGAAAAUGACAAUACUGUGAUCCAGUAUGGCAGAGAAAGUCUCUUCAUCAAGUCUGUGUACUGGAACUUGAUAGCAGUGAGGCUUUAAGGCAGGAUUCAGGUCUCCCCCUGGUGCAGGUAUGUUAGCACGAGCACUGUGUUCCCUGCAGUGUGCUGGUUUGGGAGCACUAAUGAGAUCAGAGCAUUCCCUGGUCUGAGCACACCCGCAGCUUUCUGGCUGGCUGGAUGCACAGCUCAGGGCAGGGCAGAGGCAGUGCAGCAAUCACUGCUCUCUUGCUUUGCAGAUCCGGAUUAGUUCUUCCUUCCCCAGUGCUAGCUGCUGACUUUGGGACCUGCUGUUUUCAGAGUUAUUUGUGACACCAGCAGCAGCCCUCUAGAAUGGCAAGAAGGAAAGAAACCCCUCAAAGGGAAAUGCAGUGGGCUGCACUCAAGCAAUCCUUAUUGCAGUAAAUCACUCCUCCCUUUCCAGUGAAAAAAUGUGUGUGUGUGCCUCAGCAGUGCUAACAGCUCCUCCUGAAAUCCCUGCGGAUCCUUGCCCCUAGGAAUCGCCUCCUACAGUUUGCAGAAUGGGGUGUGAUGCAGUGUUUCCCAGGGGCAGCAAGGCACGGCCGUGACCUCGUGCCUGAAGAAUACGUGCACACAGCCACAGGGCACAGGAACAAACCCAGGAGGACGAUCCUCCAGGCAUUCCAAGAAGUUGGAGCGACAUAGUGGGACAAAUCCCAUUCCCUAAGUCAGGCUGGAGCCGGGCUCCGCUUACCAGAGCUGGAUGUGUCCCACUUCUGGGCAUGCUCUCUGCCUGCACCCGCUGCCCUCUCACACGUGAGUGCACACAUCAACACUGCCCUCGUUUCCAUCCCAAGCGCGUUCGCUCAUCCCCCACUCCCUCUGUGCCUGCAGUGUGACACAGCUCCGGGUCCGCCUGGAAGGAUCUGCCCAUGCUGCUGGCUGAGCUGAUCGCUGCUGACACCACAGGGCCCUCCAUGGGAGGAGGGAGCUCUCCAUGGAGAGCUGCGGCGUAAAUCUGAGCGUGAUGCGGCCAUUAACGUGAAAGCAGCUGUGUUCUUGUUUGAUAUGUGAGAAGAAAAACACGUCGCUGAUGAUGACCGAGCCUAGAGCAUGCCCAGGGGACAGCGCAAGUGCGCGUGUUCAGUGCUCUCCAGAGCAACACGGAGCUCAGGCUGCUAAAGAAAAAGUGUUUGGGUCCCUGCCAGGAAGACAGGCAGCAUGAAUGGAACACCUGUUGUGGCUUUGGAGGGUUUGGAACCAUCCGAUGGCAGGAAGGUACGGGCUGACCUGAAGGUGAAUUGAAUUCUCCGGUGUAGAGUAACACGUCCUGCUGGGCCGUGGGAUUGUGUGAUCUCUUGUGUCCCUGCAGACAGAAGGCAGAUGUGCUGUUGGUAACGAAAAGGUGCUGCCAGGGCAUGGCAAACCCAGCAGCCAUGGGCCAGAGCAGGCUUUUCCAAAUCUGAACAGGUGUGAAAUGGGGGACGCUGUAAAGGAAGCAUGGACAAGAUACAUAAAAGUGACUCUACAAAGGGAAAAGAAUAACCAUUAAUUCCAGAUGUCUCCUAAUCCUGUUCUUGCUAAUGCUUAUUCUGAGCUGGUAGGGUUUGAGAUUUCGCGUUUUGCCUGAUGUAGUUAAGUUCUGAGAAGAUCCAAAGGACACUGCCUUUCCUGGAGCUGCUCCAUGCUGCAGCACCCCAUCGCUCUGCUUUGGUCUGAACCAUUUUUAACUUGAUGUCCUUUAAAACGUUGCAAAAAAACUGAAAGCAGAGCCAUGCUGGAAGCUGAUGGCUGGGCACUGAAGGUGAUGGCUGUAGCUCCAGCAGUGCAAUGUGACCAGCCCUCCCCUCCAUGCAUCCCAAGGAACAAACCUGACAAAGUGAAGCAGACCCCGGGCAAACCCCUCGUCCCUUCCAGAGAACUCUUCAGUCGUUUCCCACUGCAGAUGCAAACAGUGCCCUGUCCCCAUGUGCAGGAGGGUUCACCGCUGUGAUCGAGCCAUCAAUGUGAAGCACAAACAGAGAGAUGUACUCUGAGUCUCCGUGCUGUUUGCAGAGCUGUCUGUGUGUGCGUGGGGUCUGUGUGAGCAGCAGGAGCUGCUCUCAGUGCAAACCUCACCAGGAGGAGACCUGAAACCCGCUCGCCGUUUUGCUUUGCUUUGUAUUAUUUUGCAGUCCUCUCGGGUACAGCCUGCAAAGGAUGCACAGUUCUAAAGCUGGAGAUGAAGGCUGUUGCUUGUUCCUGCAGCUGGUGUUGGUUCCAUUCCAGCUCAGGUGGGAUUAAUUCUGAGCAUCCAGUAGCUGCACUCGACACCCUGUGUCAGGACAUGUGCAUGGAAAUGGCGAUCUCAGUGCAGCGCUCUUCGGUCGGUGCAGAGGAAACACAUUCCUUCACACUGCGUGCAGCAGAGCAGCAGAAAAGUAAUUAAAUCUUCCUUAAGAUAACAAGUCCCUGACCCCACGUAAUGCAUGGUACAGAAACCAUAUGCUCUGCUGUUUCUCUUGGCUCAGGCACUGACAGCUCUGAAUGCAGAGGUACCUUGCAGGGAAACGCCACAAUUAAGGCACAGCUCCUCUUCCAUUGGACAUACGUCGUUUUUCCCAGAGCGAAGAGCAUCUUGAUUCACUUCUCUACGUAAUGAACAAUAUAAAGCCAGGCAAUUUCUUGGUAUUGCUGCCGAGUUACUCAGCAGGUUUCCAAUUCAUGGCACGCUUCUCUGCAUUUCUGCUGCAGGUGAAGAGGGGACGUGGGUUUGGGAAAUGUGCUGGUUGUAAUUUGCUGAAUCUUUGCUCAGGUUUAGGAGCUGGGCUCCCUAAUUGAGGUAAGAUUCAAGGAGAAAGAGCUUGCCAUGUUUCUGAUGGAGGCUUCUGGCAAGCUCCUCGUGGUCCCACAAACAGAAGGGAGGCAAAAGUAGACUUCAGCAGAGCUUGGAUGCUGCAAUGGCUGCAGCAGUUUGCUCAGAGAGUACCUGGGCAGGAUCGCCAGAGGCUGGGUUGUUCCUGUUCUUUCUACACCCGGUGUCACUGGGCUGGAUUGGAAUGGAAAAGUCUUUUCUGCUUCAGCACCACUAGGCUGAGUGUGUCACCAUGGGCAGCUGCUCCACAGAGCCCAGCACAGGAGCACUGGUGCCAUCACUGCUUCCCAGCAGCUGCGCGGUGCCCGGGGCUGCGGGGGGGGCCUUGGUUCUGCUCCUGUGGCUGAAUCCAUGCCACAAAGCCCACAUGCUCACGGUGAUCUCACUCUGGAUGGACGGCUCACUUUCCUUAAUUGCAUUUUGGAAGGGUGAUUAAUUACGUGCCACAGCGUUACCACUAGAGGGAUUUACGGAUAUCAGAGCGGUCCCAGUGUUUUGCUUUGAAACUCUCUCGUGGGGGUGGGAGAAAGUGAUUUCCCUAAUCUGUGCGCUGCUUUCCUGGUUAACUCUUCUGAUGUAUUCACAGAUGCCAUGGGGUAUAGGCAGCUAAUUAAUACAGCGUUUGAUAAAGUUGAAGGAAGUUUAGCUCCAGCUCUGUAAGCACUGGUUUCCUGUACAUAACCAUGCUGGUUAACGAUUACUGUGCUCAGAGGCGGCCGUUCCACUUUCCCCAGAGCAAGUUGUCCAUUGUAAAGUGCACUUUAAAGGGCAGAGGCUGCCCAUGCUUUCUAAAAGGAUUUAUUCUCAAGGAUUCUGUUUGGCCUAUUAAUUCUGUAUUCAUCUGCUGCAUAUUAAGACCUUGCACGAAGUGGGUAAACGGGAAAAAUCUCCAAAGAGGCAGACAGCAGGAAGGGGUUAAAGGCGCCUGGACGCCCGUGGGGAGCCCUCCUGCUCGAACGGCUUUGGCAGCUGUGCUCUGUGCCUCACCCCACGCUGCGUGCACCGGCCCCGGUGUCACACCGGAGCCACCACGUGCCAUGCCGGCACAGCUGGCACAGCUGGAUGCGGGCUGCAGCCCUGCACCUCCCGCGCUGCUGUUGGCGGUCGGGUUCCCGCAGUCGGACGGCGCAUCGCUGCGUGCUCAUCCGUGAGCUGCCUUCCUCCGGCAGUGCAGGAGGUUACGAGCCAUGGGGACACGAGGGACAUCGGGAGCAGAGAGAUGGGGAAGGGCGGGUCACUGCUGCUCCUUUCCCCUUAGCUGAGAAGGCAGAGCCAGUCCCCGAGGGGCCGGCCUUUGGGGCAAAGAAGGGCAAUUUUUCACUGUCCAAAUUAAACAAACAGCAAACCUCGAGGAGAGCGAAUGGGACUGGGGGGGGGGCUUUUAACGUUUUGUUAAUUAGUAAUAGAGCUUUUCCGGGAGAUAAACCAAUCUAUUGGUUAAUGGAGUUUAUUAAUGCACUACAACACCGGCGAG